rnacentral:rRNA from 1 species
UCGAAGCCUCAUAAGCAGUGCGACCCAGUGAAUUUGUUUUACUACUCAAGGGUGGCUAUAGGUGUUUUGCACCUUGGCCCCCCUUGUGUCGGAAGGUAGCCCACCUUGCGUGGUCUCCUCCUGGCCUUUAACAAAACCCCGGCGCUGAAUGCGCCAAGGAAAUUGAAAUUGUUUAGUGCACCCCCGUCGGCCCGGAGACGGUGCCGUGCGGGUGGUGUUGCGACACGCGUAUCCGAA